rnacentral:rRNA from 1 species
UGCUUAUCUUACCUGCCGUUUAGUGGGGGAUAAAAUACCGCAUAUUCUGGUUUCGACCAGGAAAGGACUUCGGUUCGCUAAAUGAUGGGGAUAAGGCGUAUUAGUUUGUUGGUGGGGUAAAGGCCUACCAAGACCAAGAUGCGUAGCCAAACUGAGAGGUUGAAUGGCCACAGGGAAACUGAGACACGGUUCCCACUCCUACGGGAGGCAGCAGUGAGGAAUAUUCCGCAAUGGGCGAAAGCCUGACGGAGCGAUGCUACGUGAAGGAUGAAGGUCUACGGAUUGUAAACUUCUUUACUUGGAUGUACUCCUUAAAACUUGCAUCCGAGCAAAAAGUCACGACUAACUAUGUGCCAGCAGUCGCGGUAAGACAUAGGUGGCGAACGUUAUCCGGAAUUAUUGGGCGUAAAGGAUGCGUAGAUGGUAGAAUAAGUUAUUGGUUGAUACCAAACUCAAUUUGGUGGAGGCCGGUAAUACUGUUCGGCUAGAGGGCAGGAGAGGUUGAUGGAAUUCUGUGUGGAGCGGUGAAAUGCGUUGAUCUACAGAGGAACACCAAAAAAGGCGAAGGCAGUCAACUAUUCUGUUCCUGACAUUGAGGCAUGAAAGCGUGGGGAGCAAACCGGAUUAGAUACCCGGGUAGUCCACGCCCUAAACGAUGAGCAUUAGAUAUUGGGCAUUUUGCUUAGUGUCGCAGCUAACGCUUUAAAUGCUCCGCCUGAGUACUACGGUCGCAAGGCUAAAACUCAAAGGAAUUGACGGGGACCCGCACAAGCGGUGGAGCAUGUGGUUUAAUUCGAUACGACGCGCAGAACCUUACCAAGGUUUGACAUGGAGGGCAAAGUUGAAGAAACUCAACGGAGGUUAUCCUGACACAGGUGGUGCAUGGUCGUCGUCAGUUCGUGCUGUGAAGCGUACGCUUAAGUGCUAGAACGAACGCAACCCUCAUAUUUAGUUGCUAUCAUUUAGUUGAGAACUCUAAAUAGACUGCUAAGGUAACUUAGAGGAAGGAGAGGAUCAAGUCUGAUCGUC